AAUAGAACGAGCUGGCAUGUCACGUGACCAAGUUUGGCACGUCACAUGACGAGGAACUCGCUGAGCACGGUCUUGUAGGGGGAAAAAGUAAUUCUGGCGGAGCUCCUGGUAACUUGGGUGAAGGGCUCUUACGUGGAGAAUUGGAACCAUCUGAUUUUCCCCUAAGAUACCUUAGUUUCAGUUGGUAUCCUGUGAUGGGGAAUUGAGUGCCCUCUCACCAUGUCUGGCUGGCGACGACCCAGAUGCCAUGUGAUAGCCAUUUGAAGACAGGCCUGCUGGACAUCUGGUCUUCCAAGAUCCAGACACUUGCCCUCAGGGACCUGGGCUUUCAGCCCUUCCUACCUGGCCUUGGUUGAUGGCCCCAUGCUGAACAGUGCAUGUAAAGACACACAUGACAGAGCCUCAAGCUGUCGCCAUGGGUAGAGUACUAUGGCAUCACAGCUCACAGCAACCUUCAACUCCUGGGCUCAAGUGAUUCUCCUGCCUCCGUCUCCCAAGUAGCUGGGACCACAGGUGCCUGCCACAACGCCCGGCUAUUUUUGGGUUGGAGCUGUCGUUGUUUGGCAGGCCCGGGCUGGAUUCGAACCCUCCAAGCUCAGGUGUAUGUGGCUGGCGCCUCAGCCGUUUGAGCCACAGGUGCUGAGCCUAAAUUUCUGUUCUUUAUAAACCACCUAAGUCUAUGAUACUUUGUCAUAGCAACCCAAAUUGACUAUGUGAAUAUUUAAUUUCAAAACAUAGAUGAGUUUGGGGAGAAGAUGGGUCAGGGAGGAAAGAAGGGUCUUUUGGGACAUGUGGCGCCUAACGGACAGUACUGAGAAAUACACAGUUUGGUACUGCAAUGGUGGGGUAGUGCACCCCAGGGUGCAAGGAUUUGCUGCAUUCCAAGGAUUGGCCAUAAUGGAUCCCCAGUAAAUGUUGGUAGUCGUCCCAUGGAGGCAGAGGUGUUGGUUUGAAGCCUGAGGGGGAGGGGCUGGAGAAUAAUUCAGAACAGUCCAUGUAGGCCUGUGUGUUAGAGGAGGAUGAUCCCAGGAAGGGCUCAAGAAAGGUGUUUCUUUCCCAGAGGUUAAAAUGUGGGGGGUGGCGGCACCCAUAGCUCAGUGGGUAGGGCGUUGGCCACAUAUGCCCAGGCUGGCAGGUUCGAACCCAGCUCGAGCCAGCUAAACAACGAAAACUGCAACAAAAAAAU